rnacentral:tRNA from 1 species
UCAGCUGGGAGAGCGCUUGCAUGGCAUGCAAGAGGUCAGCGGUUCGAUCCCGCUUACCUCCACCA